UAGGGAAUCUUCGGCAAUGGGGGCAACCCUGACCGAGCAACGCCGCGUGAGUGAAGAAGGUUUUCGGAUCGUAAAGCUCUGUUGUAAGAGAAGAACGUGUGUGAGAGUGGAAAGUUCACACAGUGACGGUAACUUAUCAGAAAGGGCCGGCUAACUACGUGCCAGCAGCCGCGGUAAUACGUAGGUCCCGAGCGUUGUCCGGAUUUAUUGGGCGUAAAGCGAGCGCAGGCGGUUUAAUAAGUCUGAAGUUAAAGGCAGUGGCUUAACCAUUGUUCGCUUUGGAAACUGUUAAACUUGAGUGCAGAAGGGGAGAGUGGAAUUCCAUGUGUAGCGGUGAAAUGCGUAGAUAUAUGGAGGAACACCGGUGGCGAAAGCGGCUCUCUGGUCUGUAACUGACGCUGAGGCUCGAAAGCGUGGGGAGCAAACAGG
rnacentral:rRNA from 1 species